AGGACUCACAACAGAGAUUGAAAGAGAGAGAGAAUGGAUGACAGAGAGUAGAAUGGAUGAAUUGCAUGGAGGACCCACCUGAACUUAAUUGAGAUCUCUGUCUGUCUCUCCCCUCCUCCUCCUCUCCUUGUCUGUCUCCCUCUUCCCCUCUUCUCCUCUUCCUCUUCCUCUUCCUCAUCCCCUCCCUCCCCCUCUCUCUGGCAGGGGUGGGAGGGUUUGCCUAUUUUGGUGAUCUCUUAACUUCAGUCAUAUUUAAAAGUCUGCCUUCUGACCUCAGCGGUGUUACACUGUCCACUGUCUCCUCUGAACGUGGGCAUCUUGCUGGGAAAUCCUCACGUUCUCAAACAAGACAUUUCCCUCAGGACUGCUGGUAGGGUUCAUUUCAAGAUCAGGUCUUUGUGAUGGCCAGGAGUGUGGGCUUGUCCUUCAGCCCUCUCUCCUUAACUGUCCAGUUUACUCUGUUUGGAUAAGCUCUGCCUCACUUUGAGAAAAGACCUUGGUUUAAACUGCUUUCUUUUUUUUUUUUGUGGUGGCCAUAUUUCCUUGAUGGUUUCUUUGUUGGCAGAACAUCAGGCUGAAAAAUCACCAGGAUGACAGCGCCCUCUAAGGGCCAUAUGGAUUAGUUAUCGCAACCAAACUAAACUCAUGUUUAGUUGGGUCCAUAAGACAAAUGGACAGAAUCCCUGGGAACCAGAGCAGAAAAACAAACAAACAAACAAACAAACAAACACCAAUGCUGUGUUCCUCUCUCAAGUACUGAAAAUGCAACAUUGUGACCAAAGAACAUAAAAAUACUUUCUGCUUUAAUUGUAGAGAAAGUUAGGAAAGGUAAAAAAAGCUAUGAAUUUUAUUUUAAUUAUCAGUAAUUUCAGUUUGUUUUAUAGAAUGAUAAUUCUAGGUAAGUAAAAUUUGGAGUGGCAGAUUAAUUUGUUGGAAUUCAACUUGAAACAUCUGAUUUUUUUCUUUUUGUUUAUAAAACGAGUCAUUUUAUAAAUAUUAUUGGGAAUUAAAUUGAGAGGCAAUUUGAUUCGAUGGUUUUUAUUUUGAAUUUUUUCCUGAAAUAAAUGCCAACUAAAUAAGCUAUUUCAAGCAUUAUGUUGGAGUUUUACCUCAUUUUAAAAAUUAAUUUUAGUGGAAUAAUCCUCUGGCAACCCCUCACCCGCAAGCUCAGCGUGUUUAUUACAGAGUUGAGUGGGAAGGCCGGGUCAGUACAUACAGCUGAGCAAGGAAGUGGGGUGCUACAUACGGAUAACCAAGGAGCUCAGGUACACAGCUGGAUCAAGGAGUAGGCUUGGCUAACCUCAGCAGGAGCAGUCUUCAGUCUUCAGUCCCUAAAUAUCAGGGGAAGAGAGUGAUGCCAGAUGUUUUCUGAAUGCACUGUCAACAGCCACACUUGGACUAGAAGGGAAUACUCAGCACACAUCCACCCAGGGCUUCUCCACCUGCUCAAGGCCUCUCGUCGCCCUACAGCGAUACCCAAGGAGUCAGAAAGUACAAACGAGUUACUCAAGCAGGGAUGUUCUCAGGCUACCUGGCAUACUUAUUUAACCUGAGCACUGGACAUCGUACUUUCUGUUUGGAUCAACACGCGUCUGUUGGGAAAGCCACCACACAGUCAGGAGAACUGCCAUAAAGCCCCUCCCCUCUGUUGGAGCCCCUCCCCUCUGUCGGAGCCCCUCCCCUCUGUCGGAGCCCCUCCCCUCUGUCGGAUUGACAGUACGGCUCGCUUUCUUGACAGGUCCUCAAGCAUGUUCCAUGUCAUGAAGCACAGUCACUACAUCUCCCGAUUCGGCAGCAAGCGUGGGCUGCAGUGCAUCGGCAUGCAUGAGAACGGCAUCAUAUUUAACAACAACCCGAGCCUUUGGAGAACAAUUCGCCCUUUCUUUAUGAAAGGUAAAUGGGAAUCCUACAUUAUUUUUUUAGGUCUGCAACAGUGCUCCUUUU
rnacentral:lncRNA from 1 species